GAUGAACGCUGGCGGCGUGCCUAAUACAUGCAAGUCGAGCGAAAAGACGAGGACCUUGCCCGUCUGACGUUAGCGGCGGAGGGGUGAGUAACACGUGGAUAACCUACCUAUAAGACUGGUAUAACUUCGGGAAACCGGAGCUAAUACCAGACAAUAUUUUCAUUCGCCUGGUUCACUGGUUAAUUACGGUUUUGCUGGUACUUAUAGAUGCAUCCGCGCUGCACGAUCUAGUGUGUAAGGUAAAGGCUUACCAAGGCGACGAUGCCUAGCCGCCCUGGGAGGGUGAUCGGCCACACUGGAACUGAGACACGAUCCAGACUCCUGCGGGAGGCCGCAGUAGCGAAUCCUCCGCAAUGGGCGAGAGCCUGACAGGGCAAGGCCGCGUGAGUGAUGAAGGUCCUCUGAUCGGAAAACUCUGUUAGUAGGGAAGAACAAAUGUGUAAGUAACGAGGCACGUCGUGACGGUACCUGGUCAGAAAGCCACGGCUAACUACGUG
rnacentral:rRNA from 1 species